rnacentral:rRNA from 1 species
GUGAGGAAUAUUGCGCAAUGGAGGCAACUCUGACGCAGCCAUGCCGCGUGCAGGAAGAAGGCGCUACGCGUUGUAAACUGCUUUUAACCGGGAAGAAACCCCAGGACGUGUCCUGGGUUGACGGUACCGGAGGAAUAAGCACCGGCUAACUUCGUGCCAGCAGCCGCGGUAAUACGAAGGGUGCAAGCGUUAUCCGGAUUCAUUGGGUUUAAAGGGUGCGUAGGCGGAGCGUUAAGUCAGUGGUGAAAUCCUGCAGCUUAACUGUAGACUUGCCAUUGAUACUGGCGCUCUUGAGUGCGCUGGAAGUGGGCGGAAUGUGCCGUGUAGCGGUGAAAUGCUUAGAUAUGGCACAGAACACCAAUUGCGAAGGCAGCUCACUAAGGCGAUACUGACGCUGAGGCACGAAAGCGUGGGGAUCGAACAGGAUUAGAUACCCCGGUAGUCC